UGACUUCAGGGGGCUUUGAAUG
rnacentral:miRNA from 1 species